GCGCCAGCCCCUCCCCUCGACCCGCACCACCAGAACAGAGAGCGCCGCUAGGGUUCCAGCGCCGCCGCCGUUCUCCAGCGCCGCCUCCGCCCCCUGCUACACCGCGCCCCCAACCCCUCCUCCAAUGGCCACACCGUCACCGGAAUCUCCUCCCGUGCCCUAGCGCCGCCGCGCCGGCACCACCGCUGCCGGGCACCACCUCUGCCGCCGCCGCCGCCGCAGGGCACCACCGCAGCAGUGCACCACCUCCGCUGCUGCUGGACUACAAAGGAGAGGCAGCAGCACGGCCGUCGGACACCAUCUCCCCCUCUGCCCCAUCUGCCCCCACGGGAUCAAUCUUUUCACCUCCAGGAGCACUGUUGGUCCUGUUGCCGUCGCCAUCGCCGUCUACUACCUCCUCUACGGAUCAUCUAAGGGCGAGCUCGACUGUCAUCCCCACUCCCCCUAUUUACUCUGUUCCGGUCGUCGUGCCAAUGCCACUAGAUUUUACUUUCAUGUUAAGUCGCGUAACCUAGGAGUCUCCCGUUCGAAAGGGUGGCAUUUAUAAAUAUGCAUGUAUUUGCAUAUUUAUAACCGUCGUCCUUUCGAAUUGUCCAUGUUAUCCAUGGACAGCCGGAGUACGUGUAGAUUGGGUUUCGUUUCCCGUGCUCUACUUCGGUCCGAGGCAAAAUUUUGUCAGCGCCUCCCCAUUGUUCUCCGGGUACACAUUCUCUCGGCUUGUUGCCGAGACGUGUAUCUAGAGAACAGCGGGGAGGUGCUGCCGAAAUUUUGCCUCAGACCGGAGUAGAGCACGGGAAACGAACCCAAUCUACACGUACUCGGGUGAGAUUAGGACCCAUCUUUACCUAUUAGAGAUAGGAUUCAACCCAUGAAUGCAUGUUUCUCUUUUGUAUGGUAAAAAUAAAACUAAGGUGUAAAUAAUAUGACAAAAGUAAUUACUUGUGUAUCUUGUCGCAAUUACAUUUUACAUAACUUGAUUAAUAUAAAUUUGGUGUACCUA